GUGGGGAAUUUUGGACAAUGGGCGCAAGCCUGAUCCAGCCAUGCCGCGUGAGUGAUGAAGGCCCUAGGGUUGUAAAGCUCUUUCACCGGUGAAGAUAAUGACGGUAACCGGAGAAGAAGCCCCGGCUAACUUCGUGCCAGCAGCCGCGGUAAUACGAAGGGGGCUAGCGUUGUUCGGAUUUACUGGGCGUAAAGCGCACGUAGGCGGAAUGUUAAGUCAGAGGUGAAAUCCUGGAGCUCAACUCCAGAACUGCCUUUGAUACUGGCAAUCUCGAGUCCGGAAGAGGUGAGUGGAACUCCUAGUGUAGAGGUGGAAUUCGUAGAUAUUAGGAAGAACACCAGUGGCGAAGGCGGCUCACUGGUCCGGUACUGACGCUGAGGUGCGAAAGCGUGGGGAGCAAACAGGAUUAGAUACCCCAGUAGUCC
rnacentral:rRNA from 1 species